rnacentral:pre_miRNA from 1 species
UCAACCCAUUUAACCUUCUAACCCAUCAAAUUAAAUGAGUUCAUGGGUUGACUCAAUUCAUUUGCUUAAAUGAGUUGAGUCAACCCAUUAACUCAUUUAAUUCUAAACUCAUUGGGUAAUGAGU